rnacentral:rRNA from 1 species
AACGAACGCUGGCGGCAUGCCUAACACAUGCAAGUCGAACGAGACCUUCGGGUCUAGUGGCGCACGGGUGCGUAACGCGUGGGAAUCUACCCUUGGGUUCGGAAUAACAGGUAGAAAUGACUGCUAAUACCGGAUGAUGACGUAAGUCCAAAGAUUUAUCGCCCAAGGAUGAGCCCGCGUAAGAUUAGCUUGUUGGUGGGGUAAUGGCCUACCAAGGCGACGAUCUUUAGCUGGUCUGAGAGGAUGAUCAGCCACACUGGGACUGAGACACGGCCCAGACUCCUACGGGAGGCAGCAGUGGGGAAUAUUGGACAAUGGGCGAAAGCCUGAUCCAGCAAUGCCGCGUGAGUGAUGAAGGCCUUAGGGUUGUAAAGCUCUUUUACCAGGGAUGAUAAUGACAGUACCUGGAGAAUAAGCACCGGCUAACUCCGUGCCAGCCGCCGCGGUAA